CCUACGGGCGGCUGCAGUAGGGAAUUUUGCGCAAUGGGCGAAAGCCUGACGCAGCAACGCCGCGUGAUCGAGACGCCCUUCGGGGUGUAAAGAUCUGUCAGUGGGGGCGAAACUUGACGGUACCCACAGAGGAAGCACCGGCUAACUCCGUGCCAGCAGCCGCGGUAAUACGGGGGGUGCAAGCGUUGUCCGGAAUCAUGGGGCGUAAAGCGUUCGUAGGCGGCACGGAAAGUCGGGUGUUAAAGGCAGAGGCUCAACUUCUGUACGGCACUGGAUACUGGCGGGCGAGAAUGCGGUAGAGGUAAAGGGAAUUCCAGGUGUAGCGGUGAAAUGCUGAGAUAUCAGGAGGAACAUCGGUGGCGUAAGCGCUUUACUGGGCCGUAAUUGACGCUGAGGAACGAAAGCCAGGGUAGCAAAUGGGAUUAGAUACCCGGGUAGUC
rnacentral:rRNA from 1 species